rnacentral:rRNA from 1 species
GAUGAACGCUAGCUACAGGCUUAACACAUGCAAGUCGAGGGGAAACGCUGAGAGAGCUUGCUCUCUUAGGCGUCGACCGGCGCACGGGUGAGUAACGCGUAUCCAACCUACCCAUUACAGGGGGAUAACCUUGCGAAAGUAAGACUAAUACCCCAUGGCAUUUUAUGGUGGCAUCAUUAUAGGAUUAAAGAUUUAUUGGUAAUGGAUGGGGAUGCGUCUGAUUAGCUUGUUGGCGGGGUAACGGCCCACCAAGGCAACGAUCAGUAGGGGUUCUGAGAGGAAGGUCCCCCACAUUGGAACUGAGACACGGUCCAAACUCCUACGGGAGGCAGCAGUGAGGAAUAUUGGUCAAUGGGCGAGAGCUUGAACCAGCCAAGUAGCGUGCAGGAUGACGGCCCUAUGGGUUGUAAACUGCUUUUAUAGGGGAAUAAAGUGAGCUACGUGUAGUUUAUUGCAUGUACCCUAUGAAUAAGGACCGGCUAAGUCCGUG